UACGGAGGGAGCUAGCGUUGUUCGGAGUUACUGGGCGUAAAGAGUGCGUAGGCGGUUUUCUAAGUUUGGUGUGAAAUCUCCCGGCUUAACUGGGAGGGUGCGCCGAAAACUGGAAGGCUUGAGUAUGGGAGAGGUAAGCGGAAUUCCUGGUGUAGCGGUGAAAUGCGUAGAUAUCAGGAGGAACACCUGCGGUGUAGACGGCUUACUGGACCAUAACUGACGCUGAGGCACGAAAGCGUGGGUAGCAAACAGG
rnacentral:rRNA from 1 species